rnacentral:rRNA from 1 species
AGAGUUUGAUCCUGGCUCAGGACAAACGCUGGCGGCGCACAUAAGACAUGCAAGUCGAACGGACUUAAUCGAAAUGUUUACAUUUUGAAGCGGUUAGUGGCGGACUGGUGAGUAACGCGUGAGUAACCUGCCUUUAAGAGGGGAAUAACAGUGAGAAAUCAUUGCUAAUACCGCAUGAUAUUAUUUAAUCGCAUGAAUAAAUAAUCAAAGGAGCAAUCCGCUUAAAGAUGGACUCGCGUCUGAUUAGCUAGUUGGUGGGGUAGUAGCCUACCAAGGCAACGAUCAGUAGCCGAACUGAGAGGUUGAACGGCCACAUUGGGACUGAGAUACGGCCCAGACUCCUACGGGAGGCAGCAGUCGGGAAUAUUGCGCAAUGGAGGAAACUCUGACGCAGUGACGCCGCGUAUAGGAAGAAGGUUUUAGGAUUGUAAACUAUUGUCGAAGGGGAAGAAAAAUGACAGUACCCUUGGAGGAAGCCCCGGCUAACUACGUGCC